rnacentral:lncRNA from 1 species
CAAAACUCUCUCUAAUAUUUCAAUUGACUUUUUACCCAUUGAUUCAUAUAAUAUGUCCUACUGAUCUUCAUCUACCUCAGUUCUUCGAAAUAAUUCACUGUCCAUAUCUUCUACUCUAUCCAAUUCUUUCUUCAAUUGGGCUAUUAAAUCUUCAUUAUAUGUUUCCAAUUUCCAAAUCUAGGAUUUUAAUUAUAAGAUCUUGGUCUUUCUACUCUCUAAUUGCUUAUGUUGUUGUUCCACCUACUUCUUUAAUACUUCCACUGCUGAUUCCGUUAGUAUGAAAUUCUCGACCUGCUUCCUAUUAGAUAAAUCAUUUUUUAUUUUGCAUAUAGUGCCUUUCAAAUUUCCAAUUUCUAUCUACAAUGUUUCUUUUUGAUGUGUCCAUUGCUCAAUCAAUUUCUUACAUUCUACCUCUAAUUUUGCCACUUUUUUACUCUCAAAGGUCUAUUUCUCUCUCAAUUUCUUGUAUUCAUGUUUACCAAUUCCUAAUGCUUCUUUUAUAAUUUAUUUUUUUUCUAGUCUAUGCUCCUUCUAUCAUCUUAUAUUGUCUUUCCAUUUGUAACUGGUUCUCCUCUUGCUGAGCUACAAUGCAAGUUAAUUCCUUAAUAAGUUGAUUCUUCU